GCUGACGCUCGCGGCGGAGGCGCCGGGGCCACCGCUCGGGGGCGAGGGCUCGAGCGCUCCUCCCGCUUUACGGCUGCUGAAAACCCGGCCCGCGCCCGGCAGCCGUACCGCAGACGAGCCCGCGCCCGCGCCGCUCAGAUCUCCCAGCUGGACACUGGAAAUAGCUUUUGAUGGUUUAGGGCCUCUUUCACUUGACCUCAGUUGAGAAGUU
rnacentral:lncRNA from 1 species